CCUACGGGUGGGCAGCAGUGGGGAAUAUUGGACAAUGGGCGAAAGCCUGAUCCAGCCAUGCCGCGUGUGUGAAGAAGGCCUUCGGGUUGUAAAGCACUUUCAGUGGGGAAGAAAGCCUUGGGUCUAAUACCCUCGAGGAAGGACAUCACCCACAGAAGAAGCACCGGCUAACUCCGUGCCAGCAGCCGCGGUAAUACGGAGGGUGCGAGCGUUAAUCGGAAUUACUGGGCGUAAAGCGCGCGUAGGCGGUCUGAUAAGCCGGUUGUGAAAGCCCCGGGCUCAACCUGGGAACGGCAUCCGGAACUGUCAGGCUAGAGUGCAGGAGAGGAAGGUAGAAUUCCCGGUGUAGCGGUGAAAUGCGUAGAGAUCGGGAGGAAUACCAGUGGCGAAGGCGGCCUUCUGGACUGACACUGACGCUGAGGUGCGAAAGCGUGGGUAGCAAACAGGAUUAGAUACCCUAGUAGUC
rnacentral:rRNA from 1 species